UUUGAGAGUGAGGGUGGUUCUCUUUUCCAGGAGAUGGAAAAUCACUAUAGUCAGAAGAUUAUGUUCCCAGAUACGCAGAACUGAGAGAGGGAGAAACAGAUCUCUGAUAACGUUGUUUGUGUCCCAGGUUCUCUCCAAUCAGCUGCAUACUAAAGUUUCCUUCUGAUGUGAAGCAACACAUUCUGAAAGUUAAUUGCCGUGAUAAAACUUUGCUGCCUAUCUAGAAACUGAGCACAAGUCCCUCAACCACUUCCUAGCAUAAAUCUCUACUGCAGAACAACGAAAUUAGAAAAUGGAGCAGCUAGUUCUAUAACAAGCUUCAAUAACCCAAUGAUAGGACCAUAAAUACAUCUAGAAGCAGUUUGGAGUUCAUCUUAAUAUGCUGAUAGAGUCCUGAAAUGAGACAUGUGGAGAAGACUUGUUCUAGUCUACCUACCUAUCAGCCUCUUGAAGCAGACCUGCCCAGGUUGGCACUAUUCUAGAUCACUUGCAACCCAUAAAUAUAAUAAUAAAUGUUUGCAUAAACUCAUUGAUGAAUGAUCAGCUGGAAGAAAAUGAUUUUGUUAUUCUCUCUGUUUCAAAACACAACUGAGUUGCUCUAUUGACUAGGCAACAUCAAGUGAAAUAGAUCUACUAGGCUUCUGUGACUCAAAUCGUGACAUUUUGCCAUCAUGUUUAUUAUUGAUAAAAACUGUAAAUGAACAAUA